rnacentral:misc_RNA from 1 species
UGGGGGAGACUGCCAUUGCUGGUG